rnacentral:rRNA from 1 species
AACUUAUAUAAAUAUGCAUUAAAAGUAAUGAAUAAUAGAUUUGAAAUAAAUAAGGAGAAAAUUUAAAGAGAUAAUCAUAGAAUAUAAAAGUUAUUUAUAGAAAUAGGUUAAUAAAUAAUAUUAUAAAUAAUAAUAUUAUAAAACCUGAUGUAAACAUUAAAAAUGUAUAUACUAAAUGAACUGAAACAUCUAAGUAAUUUAAGGAAUAGAAAUCAACAGAGAUAUCAUAAGUAUUGGUGAGAGAAAGUGAUAUAGUCAUAAUAAGUAUUAUGUAAGAAAAUAUGUAAGAAAAUGGGAUAAACAAAUUCUAAGACUAAAUACUAUAAAUAAACAAAAAUAGUACCGUAAGGGAAAAUAUGAAAAUGGUUAUUUUAUAAGCAGUUAAAAAUAUAUAUAAAAAUAUAUUAAUAACGUACCUUUUGUAUAAUGGGUCAGCAAGUAAUAAUAUAUUAGCAAAAGAAAUUAAAAAGAAAUUGAAUAAUUAAGAAUUAUAAUUAAGAAGUUAAUAAUUAUUGACCCGAAAGCAGAUGAUCUUAUCAUUAUCAGACGGAAUAAUAAACGGUCGAACAGGUUGAUGUUGCAAAAUCAUCUGAUGAAUAAUGAUAAGUAGAGAAAGUCAAAUCUGAUCUGCAGAUAGCUGGUUUUCUAUGAAAUAUAUGUAAGUAUAGCAUUUAAUAAAAUAUAUUAAUAUAUAUAUAAUAAAAUAUAUAUAUAUUUAUAAUGGUACAGCACUUAAUAUUAAUUUUGGGGAAUUAUAAUGAUUUUAUCAAAAGUAUUAAAUCUCGAAAUAAUAAUAUAUAUUUAAUUAAUAAUAAAUAAUUAUAAUAAUUAAAUAAUAUAUAUAUAUAAUAUAAUAAUAUAUUAUAUAUAUAUAAAUUUAUUAAAUAGUCAGACUAUAUGCGAUAAGGUAAAUAGUCUAAAGGGAAACAGCCCAGAUUAAGAUAUAAAGUUUUAAAUUAAAUAUUAAUAGAAAAAAAUAUAUAAAUAUUAUUAAACAAUCAGUUAAUGGGUUUGACAAUAACCAUUUUAUAAUGAACAUGUAACAAUGCACUGAUUAAUAAAUAUAAAAAUAAUAUUAAAAAUUAAUAAUAAUAUAUAUAUAAUAUAUAUUAUUAUUAUAUAUAAAUAAUAUAACGAAUCUUAAAUAAUUAUUAUUUAAUAAUAAAUAAUAAUAAAAAUAUUUUAACUGAAUAUCUAAAUAUUAUUAUAUAUAUAAUAAAUAAAUAUAAUAAUAUGGUAAUAGAACAUCUAAUGAAAUAAUAAUAUAUAUGUUAUAAUAAUAUAUAUAUAAUUAAAAUAAAUAAUUAGAUAGAGAAUGCUGACAUGAGUAACGAUAAAAAAGAAAUAAAAACUUUUUCACCUAAAACAUAAGGUUUAACUAUAAAAGUACGGCCCUUAAAUAUAUAUAUAAUAAUUUAUAAUAUGAUAGGAGAAAACUAUAUAAUAAUAAGACUUUUAAAUAAUAAUAAAAUUAUAAAUAUUAAGAGUUCAUGAAAUAAUUAUUAUAAAAUUACCGUAAUGUAAACCGACACAGGUAUGUAAGUAGAGAAUAUGAAGGUGUAUUAGAGAAUUAAAGGGAAGGAACUCGGCAAAAAUAGCUCAAACGUUUGUCAAUAAAGAGAGUAAAGAACAAGGUUGUACAACUGUUUAAUAAAAACACGGCACUUUGCAGAAACGAAAGUUAAAGUAUAAGGUGUGAACUCUGCUCCAUGCUUAAUAUAUAUAUUAUAAAUUAUAUUAUUAUUAAGAUAAUAUAAUUAAAAUUAAGUAAAUAGCAGCCUUAUUUUGAGGGUUAUAAAGUAGCGAAAUUCAUUGUCCGCUAAAUACGGUCCAGCAUGAAUGACGUAAUGAUACAACAACUGUCUCCCCUUUAAACUAAGUGAAAUUGAAUUUGCAGUGAAGAUGCUGUAUAAGAAUGAUGUGACGGAAAGACCCUAUGCAGCUUUACUGUAAUUAGAUAGAUAGAAUUAUUAUAUAUAAUAUUCAGAAUAUUAAGUAUAUAAUUAAUAAAAUAAAUUAAUUAUAAUAGUUUAUAUAUAAUAUGAGAUACUUAUUAUUAUAAAUAAUAUAUAUAUAUAAUAUAUAUAUAUUUAAUAAUAAUUCUAAUCUUAUAAUAAUAUUUAAUAGAAAAAUUAUAAAUUCUUAAAUAUAUAAUAAAUAAUUCUAAUAAUAAUUAAAAUUAUUUAUAAUAAGAGACAAUCUCUAAUAGGCAGUUUUGAUGGGAUGUCAUUUUCAGCAAAAGUAUCUGAAUAAGUCCAUAUAUAAUAUAAUAAUAAUAAGAAUAAAAUAUAUAUAAUAUAUAUAUAAAAUUUAAAGAAGAUAUAAUAAAUAUUAAUAUUUUAUUAUAUUUUUAUAUAGUUAAAAAUAUGUACAGUAAUAUUGUAAUGAAAACAAUAAUAAAGGAAUAUAUUAAAUUAAUAUAAUAGUAUAACUGUGCUAUAAUUGUAAUACUAACAAGUAAAACAAGUACGUAAGUAUGGUAUAAUGAACAAAUAAUACUGUUUGUAAUGGUUAUUGAUAACGAAUAAAAGUUACGCUAGGGAUAACAGGGUAAUAUAACGAAAGAGUAGAUAUUGUAAGUUAUGUUUGCCACCUCGAUGUCGACUCUACCUAUCCUCUUGGUUGUAAGAGCUAAGAAGGGUUUGACUGUUCGUCAAUUAAAAGGUAACGUGAGUUGGGUUAAAUACGAUGUGAAUCAGUAUGGUUCCUAUCUAUCAUUCUAAAUAUUAUCAAAUUAAGUAUCAUUUUUAGUACGCAAGGAUCAAAAUGAAUAAACCAAUGGUGUAUUUAUUGAUUAUAAUAUAUAAUAUAUAUAUAUAAUAAUAUAUAUAUUAUAUCUUUAUUUAUUUAUAAAUAAUAAUUAUUUUAUAGUCAUAGUAGAUAAGCUAAGUUUAUAAAUAAUAAGUAUUGAAUGCAUAUAAAAUACGAAGUAGUCUUAAUAAAUGAUAAUGAAAUUAAUAAUUAUAUACUAUAAUUUUAAUAGGUAUUAUUAAAUAUAAUUUUGUAAUAUACUAAUUUAUUAAUAAUUUUCUAUCUUAUCUAAUCUAUUAUU